rnacentral:lncRNA from 1 species
ACUGCAAUCAACACUGGAGACUGCUGUAGAGAGAAGACUGUGAUGAGCUGCCUAGGACCCACUCACCAUGGAAAUCUGGGAGUUGUCUUUUGAAUGGCUUUCUGCUGAUAAUCUGCCUCGUGUUUCUGAAGUUCCCCUAGCGAGGGAGACAUUCAAGUGCACAGAUACAAAGCAGAACAGAGGAAGACUAAUAUUGCUCAAAGAUGGAAGCUCCAGGGGCUGUCAGCUCUACCUGUUUUACAGCCAGCAAGACUUGGCUUUGGCACUCUGA